AGUGAACGCUGGCGGUAGGCCUAACACAUGCAAGUCGAACGGCAGCACAGUAAGAGCUUGCUCUUACGGGUGGCGAGUGGCGGACGGGUGAGGAAUACAUCGGAAUCUACCUUUUCGUGGGGGAUAACGUAGGGAAACUUACGCUAAUACCGCAUACGACCUACGGGUGAAAGCAGGGGAUCUUCGGACCUUGCGCGAUUGAAUGAGCCGAUGUCGGAUUAGCUAGUUGGCGGGGUAAAGGCCCACCAAGGCGACGAUCCGUAGCUGGUCUGAGAGGAUGAUCAGCCACACUGGAGCUGAGACACGGUCCAGACUCCUACGGGAGGCAGCAGUGGGGAAUAUUGGACAAUGGGCGCAAGCCUGAUCCAGCCAUACCGCGUGGGUGAAGAAGGCCUUCGGGUUGUAAAGCCCUUUUGUUGGGAAAGAAAAGCAGCAGGUUAAUACCCCGCUGUUCUGACGGUACCCAAAGAAUAAGCACCGGCUAACUUCGUG
rnacentral:rRNA from 1 species